rnacentral:misc_RNA from 1 species
GACAUAAGAUAAUGAUUAAGGGUUGAAGAAAAAAACUUGUACCCUUUUUGAAGUUGACAAUGCCUAAGGAAGACACAUCUAAGAGACUUUCGAUCUAAUUUAACAUCUGUAGACAUAGGAUAAUGAUUAGUGUUGCUCAUCUUGCAUGAAAUGUGUGGUAGUUCACAGAUAACUCACUAGUUCCAUUAGAAAUAGAAGGGGAAAUAACGAAUAAAAAAAGAAUGUAAGGAAAGGAAAUGAAAGGAAAUGAAAGGAAAGGCAAGUUUGCAAAUGAGCUCACUUAUGUAUGAAAGUAAAAGAAAUGUCGAAUAAGGUAAUUCUGUGUCUCUAACAUCUGAAUGUCCAGAGUCUAGAUCAACAUCAUCAGGUAAGAUGGAUUUUGGAUCUUUGGCAUCCACCAAGUUAUGUAAAGUUAAGGAAAGAUAAUAAAACACAAUAAGAUACAGGGUAGGAGAACCAUUGGUGACAUGAAUUACCUUGUGGGUACAUGUGUAUGCAAUGUCUUAUGAGCAUGUAAUUAUUGUUAUUGUUUUAUUUACAAUUUCACCCUUAUGUAGUUUCUCUAUUCACUAGGACUAGUCAUCUCACUCCCUUUUUUUUGUCUUCCAUUCAAGGACAGGUUAAGAAGACGGUGAG